UUGGACCUGAUAUCAGGCAAGAUUACCCGCUGAACUUAACAUAU
rnacentral:rRNA from 1 species